CAAAGGACUUGAUCCUAGCCACUACUGGAGUCUGUGCAGAGGCUCCUAGAGAUGUCAGUGCAGAUGCAUCGGGCCUUCAGAGAGACUUAGUGAUAUUUUGGUGAAUAAAAAUUACGUGUCCAGUGCCCAUAGAAAGCUGCAAAGAUAAUAGUGCAGUGCUCUACAGGACUGUGAGUUCACACUCACAGAGACACUAAGCUCUAAGCUCUUCACCAGCAACACACCCACAUUAUUCUUGCAGACUCCUGAACGGAAACUUUCCAAAAACAAUACCACAAAAUACAUAUCUGUCUUUCUCUUUUGUGAUAGGCAGUGGUGUAGUUAAGGGUAGACUUGGUUAGACAGAGUAUAAUAACUUUUUAUUUUUAGACGAAAAAGUUUGCCUGCUUUUUGGCAGCUGUAAGUGUGGGUAUGCCAGGAAAAAAACCACAACAGCCCUGUUUACCUUACAUAGCUUCCAACCCUUUCACUUACUGAAACUGCCCCUGAGAUGAUAUCCUUUAUAUACACCAUAGUAUACAUGAUGGUGCUGUGAUAGAAGCCUUGAUAAUAUCUCAAUUGCUCGAUAAAUCAGAUAUUGUCUUCACGUAAUUGUCUGGGAAGCUAAUUAAGCAAAACAAAAGAAAACCAGAACUUCGCCUACAGACUCCUUUUCUCUCCUUGCAGGACCUAUUCUUACCAGUGCCAAGGGUGGCUGGUUCUCUCAGCUUGCUCCUGUCUGACUUGUCCCCUGCUGAAAAACAUGAAACGUCAUUGCUCUUCACAAGCGAUCAUCUUCAUGGCUCGGGUUUCCAGAAUUUGCAGCCACAUUGACGUAGAUGUACAAGUGACAAAAGCACUGUGAGGUCUUAUCCCAGCACGGAAGAAAGAGGAGACAUUUACUUGAGUGGUAUUUAUGUACCAGCAAGAUGGUGAGGAAAGAAAUGACAAGCAUCUGCUUUCCUUCACGUGAUUGGAUGGGGGAGAACGGCUUUUGAAGACCAGUUUGAUGUCAGGAAGAGAGAAGAGGAACAGACUUCAGACUAGAGAUGGUUGCUGGAUCCUGAUCUGUACUGAGAAUUUCACGUAAUGUAUGCAGUUCCAUGGAUCAGUCAUGCCAGUGAAUGAAGUUUCAUCAUACCACUCAACCUUCCUGUCUGUAGCUGCACAGCCUUUUAUUUCAGUUUCUGAUAGGCUCUUCCUGGAAAAUGUUGUAGUAAUUGAACCAAUAAUAUCUAUCUAUGGGGGGAGUAAGCUGAAGGCUAUCAUGUUUGUAUCAAUGCAUAUAUGGCAGUGCCCUAGUAGUUCAUCGAUGGGUUGUUGAAGGCGAUUUCAGCACAUGGGCAGUAAUCCAAUGUGCCAGUAGACAAGUAUAGCAGUGUUGUUUAUCAGACUGGUACCAAACUAGGAAAUCUCUGUAUUAACCUGUUGUUUGUAUCCACGAAGUUAGGUUUUCAUACAACAGAACCCUUAAAUAAUGGUAUAAGAAGAGGAUUCUUAUUCAGACUGUACGAUCAUUCAUUCUGGUCUGAACGGGAACAUUUUUCUCCCUCCACUGAGCAUCUUCUCAUGGACGCUUUUUUUGCUGAAAAGCAAGGAAGCCCAGAAGUAGGAAGUCACUGCUGGUUUCUGUAUGGCCCAACCUAUUUAACACAACCAGUAGUGCUUUGCUGCAACUACUAAGGGAUUAACUUAAUUUAGUUCAAGAUGGCUAUCCAGUGCAAACUCCUGGAGGAUUAUUUUGGAUGAGAGAGAUUGAGAGAGGGAAGGUGGUUGAAUUCAAGAUGUGUUGUCCCUAGAGACAGAAUGGAAGGUUUGGAUGGUGGUCCCCUCUCUGGAAUGAAUUGAUGCUGGUGUUCAUAUCAACUAUCUGAGAUUAUAGCUGAGCUAUUUGAGAUUAUAUAGAAUAGAAUCAUAGAAUUGUUUAGCUUGAAAAAGGAUCUUAAGAUAAUCAAGUCCCAACAUUAACCUAGUACUGCCAAAUCCACCCCUAAACCAUGUCCUUAACCACCACCUUUACAAGUCUUUCAAAUACCUUCAGGGAUGGUGAUUCCACCACUCCUAUGACAGCCUGUUCCAAUGCUUGACAACCUUUUUAGUGAAUAAAUUUUUCCUAACAUCCAAUCUAAACCUCCCCUGGUGCAACUUGAGGCCAUUUCCUUUCAUUCUAUCACUUGCUACUUGGGAGAAGAGACCAACACCCUCCAUGCUACAACCUCCUUUCAGAUAGUCAUAGACAGCAAUAAGGUCUCCCCUCAGCCUCCUUUUCUCCAGGCUAAAUAGCCCCAGCUCCAUCAUCUGCUCCUCAUAAGACUUGUGCUCCAGACCUCUCAACAGCUUCAUAGCCCUUCUCUGAACUUGCUCCAGUACGUUAAUGCCUUUCCUGUAGUGAGGGGCCCAAAACUGAACACAGGAUUUGAGGUGAAGCCUCACAAGUGCUGAGUACAGGGGGAUGAUCAGUUCCCUAGUUCUGCUGAUCACGUUAUUCCUGAUACAAGCCAGGAUGCUGUUGGACUACUUGACCACCUGGGCACACUGCUGGCUCAUGUUCAGCUGGCUGUCAAACAACACCCCCAGGUCUUGUUCCUCCAGGCAGCUUUCCAGUUACUCUUUCCCAAGCCUCUGGUGCUGCCUGGAGUUGUUGUGACUUAAGUGCAGGAACUGUCACUUGGCCUUAUCGAAACAUAUACAAUUGGUCUCAGCCCAUCGAUCCAGCUGGUCCAGAUCCCUCUGUAGAGCCUUCCUACCCACAAGCAGGUCAACACUCCCACCCAACUUGGUGCACUCAAUCUCCUCAUCCAGGCUAUUGAUAAAGUGAUUAAACAGAACUGACUCCAACUGAACUGAGCCCUGGGGAACACCACUCAUGACCAGCCACCAUCUGGUUUUAACUCCAUUCAGCACAAUUCUUUGGGCCUGACCACGCAGACAGUUUUUUACACAGUGAAGAGUAUCCCCGUCCAAGCCAUGAGCAGCCAGUUUCUCCAGAAGAAUGCUGUGGGAAACAGUAUCAAAGGCUUUACUCAAGUCAACAUCCACAGCCCUUCCCUUAUCCACCAAGUGAGUCACCCUGUCAUAGAAGGAGAUCAGUUUAGUCAAACAGAACCAUAUGCUGACUGUGCCUGAUCACUUGGUUGUCCUGUAUGUGCUGCAUGAUAGCACCAAGGAUGAUGUAUUCCAUGACCUUCCCCAGCACCAAGGUCAGACUGACAGGCCUGUUAUGCACUGGAUCCUCCUUCCAGCCCUUCUUGUAGACGGGCAUCAAAUUUGCUAACCUCCAGUCAACUGGGACCUCCCCAAAUAGCCAGAACUGCUGAUAAAUAUUAAUAAUUGAAAGCGGCUUGGUGAGCACCUCUACCACCUCACUCAGAGCCCCAUGGUUCCCAUCUGGCCCCAUAGACUUGUGCAUGUCUAAGUGUUAUAGCAAGUUGUUAACUCCUCAGGUUAUGGGAGCUUCAUGCUGCUCCCUGUCCCUGUCCUUCAUUUCAGGGGCUGUGUACAUGGAGCACAAGUGGUCUUACUGUUAAAGUCUAAGGCAAAGAAGGUAUUAAGCACCUCAGCCUUUCCCUCAUCCUCUGUCACUAUGUUUCCUCCCUACUUCCACUAAACGAUGGAGAUUCUCCUUAGCCCUCCAUUUGUUGCUAAUGUAUUUAUAGAAACAUUUUUUAUUGUCUUUUAUGGCAGUAGCCAGAUUAAGUUUUAGUUGGGUUUUGGCCCUUCUAAUUAUCUCCUUGCAUAACCUCACGACAUGCUUGUAGUCCUGAGUUGCAUGCCCUUUCUUGUGAAGGUCAUAAACCCUCCUUGUUUUCCUGAGUUCCAGACAAAGUUCUCUAUUCAUCCAGGCUGGUCUUCUACCCCACCGUUUCAUCUUUCAGCACACAGGAACAGCUGCUCCUGUGCCUUUAAGAUUUUUUUUUUGAAGAGUGACCACGCUUCCUGGACUACUUUGCCCUUCAGAGCUGCCUCCCAAGAGACUCUGUCAGCCAGCCUCCUAAACAGGUCAGUCUGCUCUCCAGAAGUCCAAGGCAGCCAUUCUGCUGACCAUCCUCCUAACAUCUCCAAGAAUAGAAAAGUGAAUUGUUUCAUAAUCACUAUGCCCAAGGUGACCUCUGACUGACACAUCACCCACAAGUCCUUCUCUGUUUGCAAACAACAGGACAAGUGGGGCACCUUCCCUAGUUGGCUCACUGAUGAGCUGUUUCAGGAAUUUGUCUUCCACACACUCCAGGAACCUCCUAGACUGUUUCUUCUCUGUUGUGUUCUACUUCCAGCAAACAUCUGGUAAGUUGAAGUCCCCCACAAGAACAAGAGCUAGUGAUCAUGAGACUUCUCCCAGACACUUACGGAAUAUUUUGUCUGCCUCUUCAUCCUGGUUGGGUGGUCUGUAACACACUCCCAUCAUGAUAUCUGCCUUGUUCGCUGUCCAAUCUCAGUGCAUUCACUGAAGAUCCAAUUUCCACAUCUCCCAAAGUGAUCAGGAAACCUGAUACUUCCCAGAACUGCUACUGAAAUCACUGUCACCAUUAGAUCACACUGUCUACAUUCUUCAAAUUGAAGUGUCCUUCACUUUAAAUAUGAUUUUUGGGGGCUGCCCAAAAUCUGAGUCAUUUUUUAACAGACAGUUUUUCAAAAAUUGUUGCCUCUAUGUUAGCAGAUACCUGUCUUUCUGCUAAAUAAGCCAAGAAUUCUGUUAGCUGUACUAACUGCACAGAGUAAAUCACCUUUUGGCCCCUGAAUGCAGCAACCUUUCCACUCUAGCCAUGGAGUAAUUGAUGGAGUAGCACAGGAAAUCUUGCAUUCUUGCUGUCUGGUGAAAUCAUAAAUAAAAAUGUAUUAUUUGUUAAUGGACUUUGGAGAGGUAACUUAAAUCUGGUAAACAUAUGAGAGCAGCAGCCAUCUUUAUUCAGAGGAAAAUAUAGCUUUAAAAAUUAAUCUGAAUAUCUUCCUACAUUAAAUGAAAAAAAUGUUUCUAAUCCAUCUAUGGAAAUACAAUAAAUAUCUUUUGUUCAGGCUGAUCAGUCACAGUAAUACCCAAAGGGUCCUGGUCAAACUUCCACCAGUGGAAAUCAAUGGGGAGACUUUCCAUCAACUCUAAUAGGGUUUGUUGUGUUACUUAUUGCUGAUUUGAGAAUAAUGGGACAGCUGGCAAACCAAAGCUACUCUCAUUACAUAGAAUAAGGAGCAGUUUCACUUAUUGAAGGAGUGCAUAGAUAACUUAUUUCUGAAAAGUUUGAAUAAGAAACUAAAAACUUACUCAUGGCCUUUUUUAUGUGAAUGGGGAAAAUACUACCAGCAUGAGUGGGUGCAGGACUGAGGCUUUAAAACAAACAGAGAGAGAUGGUUUGAUAAAUGGGCUGACAGGAACCUCACCAAGUUCAACAAUGUGAAGUACAAAGUCCUGCACCUGAGGAGCAGCAAUCCCAGCUGGAAAGCAGCCUGGCAGAAAUUCACCUGGGGGUGCUGGUGGACAACAAGUUGAGCAUUAGCCAAUAAUGUGCCCCUGUGGCAAAGAAAGCAAAUGAGAUCAUGGGCUGCAUUAGACAAAGGUCUAAUUAGCCUGCAGGUCAAAGGCUGCAAUUAGCCUGCAGGUCAAGGGAGGUGAUCCUUCCCUUCUGCUCAGCACUGGUGAGGCCACACCUGGAGUGAUGUGUCCAGUUCCAGGCUCCUGAGCACAAGAGAGACAUGGACAUACUGCAGGGAGUUCAACAAAGAACCAUGGAGAUGUUUAAGAGAUCUGAGGAGCUCUCUUAUGAGGAAAGACUGGAAGAGCUGGAACUGUUCAGCCUAGAGAAGAAGUUGUUAAUGGAGAGCUCUUCAAUGUAUAUAAACACCUGAAGGGCAAAGAGG